rnacentral:sRNA from 1 species
AUCGAGUUCAGCGCAGGAAGCGCCCCAGUCAAAACAGGGAGUUAGAGGAUUGCGCCAGGACGGUGCCCGAUACGGAAAUCCUCCAUAGUCUGCAAAGCCCCGCUACGGUGGGGUUUU